rnacentral:rRNA from 1 species
CAGCCGCCGCGGUAAUACGGAGGGAGCUAGCGUUGUUCGGAAUUACUGGGCGUAAAGCGCGCGUAGGCGGUUACUUAAGUCAGAGGUGAAAGCCCGGGGCUCAACCCCGGAACUGCCUUUGAAACUAGGUGACUAGAGUCUUGGAGAGGUCAGUGGAAUUCCGAGUGUAGAGGUGAAAUUCGUAGACAUUCGGAAGAACACCAGUGGCGAAGGCGACUGACUGGACAAGUAUUGACGCUGAGGUGCGAAAGCGUGGGGAGCAAACAGGAUUAGAUACCCGCGUAGUCCCUGUCUCUUAUAC